rnacentral:tRNA from 1 species
AUCUCGUUGGCUCAGUGGUAAAGCAUGUGACUCUUGAUCUCAGAGUUGUGAGUUUGAGUCCCACAUUGGGUA